rnacentral:rRNA from 1 species
AUUGAACGCUGGCGGCAGGCCUAACACAUGCAAGUCGAACGAGUGCCGGACGGGUGUGUAAUGUCUGGGAAACUGCCCGUUGUAGGGGGAUAACUCCUGGAAACGGUAUCUAAUACCGCAUACCAUCUGAUUUGCCCAGAUGGGAUUAGCUUGUAGGUGAGGUAACGGCUCACAUAGGCGACGCUCCCUAGCUGGUCUGAGAGGAUGACCAGCCACACUGGAACUGAGACACGGUCCAGACUCCUACGGGAGGCAGCAGUGGGGAAUAUUGCACAAUGGGCGCAAGCCUGAUGCAGCCAUGCCGCGUGUAUGAAGAAGGCCUUCGGGUUGUAAAGUACUUUCAGCGGGGAGGCGUUACCCGCAGAAGAAGCACCGGCUAACUCCGUGCCAGCAGCCGCGGUAAUAC